rnacentral:ncRNA from 1 species
UUCCAGGAGGAUUGACAGAUUGAGAGCUCUUUCUUAAUUCGGGGAUGGUGGUGCAUGUCCGUUCUUAGUUGGUGCAGCGAUUUGUCUGGUUAAUUCCGAAAACGAACGAGACUCUAGCCUAAUAAAUGGGUGCGUGGUUCUCUGCACCUUACACCCUUCUUAGAGGGACAAGCGGCUCCUAGCCGCACGAAACAGAGCAAUAACAGGUUUAUGGUGUCCUUAGAU